rnacentral:rRNA from 1 species
UACGAAGGGGGCUAGCGUUGCUCGGAAUCACUGGGCGUAAAGGGCGCGUAGGCGGCGUUUUUAAGUUGGGGGGUGAAAGCCUGUGGCUCAACCACAGAAUUGCCUUCGAUACUGGGACGCUUGAGUGUGGUAGAGGUUGGUGGAACUGCGAGUGUAGAGGUGAAAUUCGUAGAGAUCCGGAAGAACACCGGUGGCGAAGGCGGCCUGCUGGGCAGUUGCUGACACUGAGGCGCGACAGCGUGGGGGAGCAAACAGG